AGACCAUUUAAUUAUUUGACGUUUGUCUAUCGCUGGUUAAAGUAUUGUAGUCGUCACUUUAUUUUAGUUGUUCUUAGACAUUUCACUUGUAGUUAAAGACAAGCAAAAAAAUUAAUUAAAAGUUUUAUCCAAAUUAUACGUUGACCAAUUAAUAAAAAAAUGGCAUCGAAAGAUGACCUCGACAAGGAUCAAAUAGCUCUCUUAAAGAGAGCAUUUGAUGCUUUUGCUCAAGACUUAGGAUAUAUUGAAACAAACAUGGUAGGCACAAUUCUACAGAUGUUGGGACAUGAAGUAUCAGAAGAUAGAUUACAAGAAAUUAUAGCAGAAGUCGAUGCAGAUGGUUCUGGGGAAUUAGAAUUCGAAGAAUUUGUUGCACUAGCUGCUGGUUUUUUGACAGAAGAUGAACCUGAGGAUGCUGAAGCUAUGCAAGCUGAAUUAAAAGAAGCAUUUAGGUUAUACGACAAAGAAGGAAACGGUUACAUAACCACAGUAGUUCUCAGAGAAAUUCUCAAAGAGCUAGAUGAUAAAAUAACCAAUGAAGAUUUAGACAUGAUGAUAGAAGAAAUUGAUUCGGAUGGCUCGGGAACAGUAGAUUUUGAUGAAUUCAUGGAAGUUAUGACUGGAGGAGAUGAUUAAACUGAACUACUAAUGAACAAAACACAUUUACAAUUUUAUUUUGACUUAAAAACAAUGUUUUAAUUUGUAAUAGACAGAAACUUCAAAUGCUACACUGUCAAUAAAUUAACAUAAAACAAAGUUAGUCUUGAAUAUGAUAUAUGUUUAUAGGAUCAAUCAAUCAAUAAUAGUCCAAUUAUUCUUAAAUAUUUAUAAUAACUUAUACAAAAUAAUUAGGAUUAAUUUUGAGUAUAAAUCUGUUCCCUAGAGAUAAUUUUUAAUAAACAAAAUUUACAUA